rnacentral:tRNA from 1 species
GGGCGAGUACCCAAGUGGUCAAAGGGGGCAGGCUGUAAACCUGCUGGCGUUCGCCUUCGGGGGUUCGAAUCCCUCCUCGCCCA